rnacentral:rRNA from 1 species
UACAGAGGGGGCAAGCGUUGUUCGGAAUUACUGGGCGUAAAGGGCGCGUAGGCGGCCUGCUAAGUCGAACGUGAAAUCCCUGGGCUUAACCCAGGAACUGCGUCCGAUACUGGUUGGCUUGAAUCCGGGAGAGGGAUGUGGAAUUCCCGGUGUAGAGGUGAAAUUCGUAGAUAUCGGGAGGAACACCGGUGGCGAAGGCGGCGACCUGGGUAGAUACUGACGCUGAGGUGCGAAAGCGUGGGGAGCAAACAGG